AUACGUAGGUGACAAGCGUUAUCCGGAUUUACUGGGUGUAAAGGGCGUGUAGGCGGUUUGGCAAGUCAGAAGUGAAAUUCCCGGGCUUAACUUGGGCGCUGCUUCUGAAACUGCUUAACUUGAGUGCUGGAGAGGAUAGUGGAAUUCCUAGUGUAGCGGUAAAAUGCGCAGAUAUUAGGAGGAACACCGGUGGCGAAGGCGGCUAUCUGGACAGUAACUGACGCUGAGGCGCGAAAGCACGGGGAGCAAACAGGAUUAGAUACCCUGGUAGUCCGUGCCGUAAACGAUGAAUACUAGGUGUAGGGGGUAUCGACUCCCUCUGUGCCGCAGUUAACACAUUAAGUAUUCCACCUGGGGAGUACGGCCGCAAGGUUGAAACUUAAAGGAAUUGGCGGGG
rnacentral:rRNA from 1 species